rnacentral:rRNA from 1 species
UACGUAGGGGGCGAGCGUUGUCCGGAUUUAUUGGGCGUAAAGAGCUCGUAGGCGGUUUUGUAAGCCAGAUGUGAAAUCCCCGGGCUUAACCUGGGAAUGGCAUUUGGGACUGCAAGGCUGGAGUGCGGCAGAGGAGACUGGAAUUCCUGGUGUAGCAGUGAAAUGCGUAGAUAUCAGGAGGAAUACCGAUGGCGAAGGCAGGUCUCUGGGCUGACACUGACGCUCAUGCACGAAAGCGUGGGGAGCAAAC